rnacentral:rRNA from 1 species
UCGAGGGGCAGCACAGGUAGCAAUACCGGGUGGCGACCGGCGCACGGGUGAGUAACGCGUAUGCAACUUACCUAUCAGAGGGGGAUAACCCGGCGAAAGUCGGACUAAUACCGCAUGAAGCAGGGGCCCCGCAUGGGGAUAUUUGCUAAAGAUUCAUCGCUGAUAGAUAGGCAUGCGUUCCAUUAGGCAGUUGGCGGGGUAACGGCCCACCAAACCGACGAUGGAUAGGGGUUCUGAGAGGAAGGUCCCCCACAUUGGUACUGAGACACGGACCAAACUCCUACGGGAGGCAGCAGUGAGGAAUAUUGGUCAAUGGCCGAGAGGCUGAACCAGCCAAGUCGCGUGAGGGAUGAAGGUUCUAUGGAUCGUAAACCCCUUUUAUAAGGGAAUAAAGUGCGGGACGUGUCCCGUUUUGUAUGUACCUUAUGAAUAAGGAUCGGCUAACUCCGUGCCAGCAGCCGCGGUAAUACGGAGGAUCCGAGCGUUAUCCGGAUUUAUUGGGUUUAAAGGGUGCGUAGGCGGCCUUUUAAGUCAGCGGUGAAAGUCUGUGGCUCAACCAUAGAAUUGCCGUUGAAACUGGGGGGCUUGAGUAUGUUUGAGGCAGGCGGAAUGCGUGGUGUAGCGGUGAAAUGCAUAGAUAUCACGCAGAACCCCGAUUGCGAAGGCAGCCUGCCAAGC